GACGAACGCUGGCGGCGUGCCUAACACAUGCAAGUCGAACGGUGAAGCGCCUUCCUUUUUGGUGGGUGUGGAUGAGUGGCGAACGGGUGAGUAACACGUGAGUAACCUGCUCCCUUCUUCUGGAUAACCGCAUGAAAGUGUGGCUAAUACGGGAUAUUCUGGGUCUGUCGCAUCAUGGGUUUGGGAAAGCUUUUGUUUCGGUGUGGGAUGGGCUCGCGGCCUAUCAGCUUGUUGGUGGGGUGAUGGCCUACCAAGGCGAUGACGGGUAGCUGGCCUGAGAGGGAGAGUGGACAGACAGGAAAGGAGAGAGGGACGAGCCAGACACGUGAGGGAGGCAGCGGGAGGGAAUAUUGAAGAGUGGAAGCAAGACUGAGGCAGCGACGGCGCGUGAGGGAGGGAGGCGGUCGGGAAGUGAACCUCUUUCGGCAGGAAAGAAGGCCUGCCUAGUUUGUGGGGGGGUUGAGGGUAGCUGGAAAAGAAGCGCCGGCUAACUAGGU
rnacentral:rRNA from 1 species